rnacentral:rRNA from 1 species
AGGACGAACGCUGGCGGCGUGCUUAACACAUGCAAGUCGAGCGGAAAGGCCCUUCGGGGUACUCGAGCGGCGAACGGGUGAGUAACACGUGAGUAAUCUGCCCCUAGCUCUGGGAUAGCUCCGGGAAACCGGGAUUAAUACUGGAUACGACCACCUUAGACAUCUUUUGUGGUGGAAAGAAUUUCGGCUAGGGAUGAGCUCGCGGCCUAUCAGCUUGUUGGUGGGGUAACGGCCUACCAAGGCGACGACGGGUAGCCGGCCUGAGAGGGCGACCGGCCACACUGGGACUGAGACACGGCCCAGACUCCUACGGGAGGCAGCAGUGGGGAAUAUUGCGCAAUGGGCGAAAGCCUGACGCAGCGACGCCGCGUGGGGGAUGAAGGCCUUCGGGUUGUAAACCCCUUUCAGCAGGGACGAAGCGAAAGUGACGGUACCUGCAGAAGAAGCGCCGGCUAACUACGUGCCAGCAGCCGC